rnacentral:rRNA from 1 species
CAGGUUUACCUGUGUGACUGCGUACCUUUUGUAUAAUGGGUCAGCGACUUAUAUUCUGUAGCAAGGUUAACCGUAUAGGGGAGCCGGAGGGAAACCGAGUCUUAAUUGGGCGUUAAGUUGCAGGGUAUAGACCCGAAACCCGGUGAUCUAGCCAUGGGCAGGUUGAAGGUUGGGUAACACUAACUGGAGGACCGAACCGACUAAUGUUGAAAAAUUAGCGGAUGACCUGUGGCUGGGGGUGAAAGGCCAAUCAAACCGGGAGAUAGCUGGUUCUCCCCGAAAGCUAUUUAGGUAGCGCCUCGUGAAUUCAUCUCCGGGGGUAGAGCACUGUUUCGGCUAGGGGGCCAUCCCGGCUUACCAACCCGAUGCAAACUGCGAAUACCGGAGAAUGUUAUCACGGGAGACACACGGCGGGUGCUAACGUCCGUCGUGAAGAGGGAAACAACCCAGACCGCCAGCUAAGGUCCCAAAGUCAUGGUUAAGUGGGAAACGAUGUGGGAAGGCCCAGACAGCCAGGAUGUUGGCUUAGAAGCAGCCAUCAUUUAAAGAAAGCGUAAUAGCUCACUGGUCGAGUCGGCCUGCGCGGAAGAUGUAACGGGGCUAAACCAUGCACCGAAGCUGCGGCAGCGAACGUAUCACCCAAGACAACUUUACGGAGUUGACGAUUGACGGAGCGAAGCGACGUCAAAGCGUUCAUUAAAGUCGAGUUGGCUUAGGGAUACGUUCGUUGGGUAGGGGAGCGUUCUGUAAGCCUGUGAAGGUGUGUCGUGAGGCAUGCUGGAGGUAUCAGAAGUGCGAAUGCUGACAUAAGUAACGAUAAAGCGGGUGAAAAGCCCGCUCGCCGGAAGACCAAGGGUUCCUGUCCAACGUUAAUCGGGGCAGGGUGAGUCGACCCCUAAGGCGAGGCCGAAAGGCGUAGUCGAUGGGAAACGGGUUAAUAUUCCCGUACUUGGUGUUACUGCGAAGGGGGGACGGAGAAGGCUAUGUUGGCCGGGCGACGGUUGUCCCGGUUUAAGCGUGUAGGUGUGUGUUCCAGGUAAAUCCGGUUCACUUUAACACUGAGGCGUGACGACGAGGCACUACGGUGCUGAAGCAACAAAUGCCCUGCUUCCAGGAAAA